rnacentral:rRNA from 1 species
AUUGAACGCUGGCGGCAUGCCUUACACAUGCAAGUCGAACGGCAGCACGGGUGCUUGCACCUGGUGGCGAGUGGCGCACGGGUGAGUAAUACAUCGGAACAUGUCCUGGAGUGGGGGAUAGCCCGGCGAAAGCCGGAUUAAUACCGCAUACGAUCUACGGGUGAAAGCGGGGGACCUUCGGGCCUCGCGCUAUAGGGUUGGCCGAUGGCUGAUUAGCUAGUUGGUGGGGUAAAGGCCUACCAAGGCGACGAUCAGUAGCUGGUCUGAGAGGACGAACAGCCACACUGGGACUGAGACACGGCCCAGACUCCUACGGGAGGCAGCAGUGGGGAAUUUUGGACAAUGGGCGAAAGCCUGAUCCAGCAAUGCCGCGUGUGUGAAGAAGGCCUUCGGGUUGUAAAGCACUUUUGUCCGGAAAGAAAGCCUUGGCCCUAAUACGGUCGGGGGAUGACGGUACCGGAAGAAUAAGCACCGGCUAACUACGUG